AGUCGAACGCUUCUUUUUCCACCGGAGCUUGCUCCACCGGAAAAAGAGGAGUGGCGAACGGGUGAGUAACACGUGGGUAACCUGCCCAUCAGAAGGGGAUAACACUUGGAAACAGGUGCUAAUACCGUAUAACAAUCGAAACCGCAUGGUUUUGAUUUGAAAGGCGCUUUCGGGUGUCGCUGAUGGAUGGACCCGCGGUGCAUUAGCUAGUUGGUGAGGUAACGGCUCACCAAGGCGACGAUGCAUAGCCGA
rnacentral:rRNA from 1 species